CAGGUAGCGGGGCCGGUCUGGGCGACAGGUCCGGGAGCGGCGGCGAGAGGAGCCGGGACCGCGGCGGGUCGAACGGCGGGCAGUGGUAACUCCUUCCCGGUGCUGGCAGCAGCACGAAGAAAAGAAAAAAGUGAAGAAAAGGGAUGGAGAGCCUGAGAGAAAGAUGUGAAUCUGGGUUUGGCAAGUGGGAGUGCUACAGACAUCAGCAGGGAUGGAACAUUCACUGAGCACACGCUCAAAGCCAGCCCAGCCCUGCAGAGGACUCCCCUGGCCAUUGUCUUGUGCUCACAGAGCGGCUUGGACCCAGCACCGGACAGCGGGCAGCGGGCACUGGAGAGCAGAGAGCGGGAGCGGAAAGCGGGCAGCGGGCACUGGAGAGCGGGCAGCG